CAGUCGCAAAAGCAGCAGCACGGCUCGCUACGAGUUCCACUGAAGAACUCCCGGUGCAGAGCAAACUCUCCAACUUAGGACGGAAAGGUGGAGUAAAGAUAGGUAAGCCAUGGAUUCCCCAUUGUGGAUUCUCCUUAUUGCUUCCGAAAGAAUCAAACUGAUAUCAACAGUCUUUAUCUUGGGACACUGCAGCUUCUGUACUUCAUGAGGAACUGUGUUGGUCACAACCACCUAAAGCCACAAGGCUGUUUCACACUGUAUGUUAUCCUGAGUUUACAAUUAUUCUGGCUACUUCAACUAAAGACCACCCUAAGCCAAGGAUGAACAAAGCAAUAAGCCUUGUAUGUGGCUGUCUUACUAGCCCAAACAGCAGGAUUUUAGUGUAUAUAAGUAUAAAUAUUUAAUCUCUCAUUCAAGCUCUUGAUAAAUCAAGUUCAUUGGAACCACACCAGAAGAAUUCCUCAAUAAGGGAAUAAGACUGUGCCCCAGGAAAGAAAUUCUAAGGAGAGUUGUGGGUGAAUGCAAAAUUAAAAUAAACUAAACGCUAGGUAGGAGGAAUCUGAACUUGGGACACAGGCUUACCUUUGUGAUAAAAAUAAUAUUUGUUAUUAAAUAUCAUGGAAGUAA